rnacentral:rRNA from 1 species
AAGUCGAGCGAACAGACGAGGAGCUUGCUCCUCUGACGUUAGCGGCGGACGGGUGAGUAACACGUGGAUAACCUACCUAUAAGACUGGGAUAACUUCGGGAAACCGGAGCUAAUACCGGAUAAUAUAUUGAACCGCAUGGUUCAAUAGUGAAAGACGGUUUUGCUGUCACUUAUAGAUGGAUCCGCGCCGCAUUAGCUAGUUGGUAAGGUAACGGCUUACCAAGGCAACGAUGCGUAGCCGACCUGAGAGGGUGAUCGGCCACACUGGAACUGAGACACGGUCCAGACUCCUACGGGAGGCAGCAGUAGGGAAUCUUCCGCAAUGGGCGAAAGCCUGACGGAGCAACGCCGCGUGAGUGAUGAAGGUCUUCGGAUCGUAAAACUCUGUUAUUAGGGAAGAACAAAUGUGUAAGUAACUAUGCACGUCUUGACGGUACCUAAUCAGAAAGCCACGGCUAACUACGUGCCAGCAGCCGCGGUAAUACGUAGGUGGCAAGCGUUAUCCGGAAUUAUUGGGCGUAAAGCGCGCGUAGGCGGUUUUUUAGGUCUGAUGUGAAAGCCCACGGCUCAACCGUGGAGGGUCAUUGGAAACUGGAAAACUUGAGUGCAGAAGAGGAAAGUGGAAUUCCAUGUGUAGCGGUGAAAUGCGCAGAGAUAUGGAGGAACACCAGUGGCGAAGGCGACUUUCUGGUCUGUAACUGACGCUGAUGUGCGAAAG